UGGGGAAUAUUGGACAAUGGGCGAAAGCCUGAUCCAGCCAUGCCGCGUGUGUGAAGAAGGUCUUCGGAUUGUAAAGCACUUUAAGUUGGGAGGAAGGGCAGUAAGUUAAUACCUUGCUGUUUUGACGUUACCGACAGAAUAAGCACCGGCUAACUUCGUGCCAGCAGCCGCGGUAAUACGAAGGGUGCAAGCGUUAAUCGGAAUUACUGGGCGUAAAGCGCGCGUAGGUGGUUCGUUAAGUUGGAUGUGAAAGCCCCGGGCUCAACCUGGGAACUGCAUCCAAAACUGGCGAGCUAGAGUAUGGCAGAGGGUGGUGGAAUUUCCUGUGUAGCGGUGAAAUGCGUAGAUAUAGGAAGGAACACCAGUGGCGAAGGCGACCACCUGGGCUAAUACUGACACUGAGGUGCGAAAGCGUGGGGAGCAAAACAGGAUUAGAUACCCUGGUAGUCCACGCCGUAAAACGAUGUCGACUAGCCGUUGGGGAUCCUUGAGAUCUUAGUGGCGCAGCUAAACGCAUUAAAGUCGACCGCCUGGGGGAGUACGGCCGCAAGGUUAAAAACUC
rnacentral:rRNA from 1 species